GGGCUCGUAGCUUAGGUUGGUAGAGCGCUGGGCUUUUAACCCAGUAGUCGGGGGUCCAAAUCCCCCCGGGCCCG
rnacentral:tRNA from 1 species